AUUGAACGCUGGCGGCAGGCCUAACACAUGCAAGUCGAACGGUAACAGAAAGCAGCUUGCUGCUUUGCUGACGAGUGGCGGACGGGUGAGUAAUGUCUGGGAAACUGCCUGAUGGAGGGGGACAACUACUGGAAACGGUAGCUAAUACCGCAUAACGUCGCAAGACCAAAGAGGGGGACCUUCGGGCCUCUUGCCAUCGGAUGUGCCCAGAUGGGAUUAGCUAGUAGGUGGGGUAACGGCUCACCUAGGCGACGAUCCCUAGCUGGUCUGAGAGGAUGACCAGCCACACUGGAACUGAGACACGGUCCAGACUCCUACGGGAGGCAGCAGUGGGGAAUAUUGCACAAUGGGCGCAAGCCUGAUGCAGCCAUGCCGCGUGUAUGAAGAAGGCCUUCGGGUUGUAAAGUACUUUCAGCGGGGAGGAAGGGAGUAAAGUUAAUACCUUUGCUCAUUGACGUUACCCGCAGAAGAAGCACCGGCUAACUCCGUG
rnacentral:rRNA from 1 species